GUUGUAUGGUUAAGUGACUAAGCGUACACGGUGGAUGCCUAGGCAAUCAGAGGCGAAGAAGGACGUGCUAAUCUGCGAAAAGCUUGGAUGAGUUGAUAAGAAGCGUUUAAUCCAAGAUAUCCGAAUGGGGAAACCCAGUAGAUGAAGAAUCUACUAUCGUUAUUUGAAUACAUAGAAUAACGAGGCAAACCGGGAGAACUGAAACAUCUAAGUACCCCGAGGAAAAGAA
rnacentral:rRNA from 1 species